rnacentral:rRNA from 1 species
ACGAACGCUGGCGGCGUGCUUAACACAUGCAAGUCGAACGGAAAGGCCCUGCUUUUGUGGGGUGCUCGAGUGGCGAACGGGUGAGUAACACGUGAGUAGCCUGCCCUUGACUUUGGGAUAACUUCAGGAAACUGGGGCUAAUACCGGAUAGGAGCUCCUGCUGCAUGGUGGGGGUUGGAAAGUUUCGGCGGUUGGGGAUGGACUCGCGGCUUAUCAGCUUGUUGGUGGGGUAGUGGCUUACCAAGGCUUUGACGGGUAGCCGGCCUGAGAGGGUGACAGGCCACAUUGGGACUGAGAUACGGCCCAGACUCCUACGGGAGGCAGCAGUGGGGAAUAUUGCACAAUGGGCGGAAGCCUGAUGCAGCAACGCCGCGUGCGGGAUGACGGCCUUCGGGUUGUAAACCGCUUUCGCCUGUGACGAAGCGUGAGUGACGGUAAUGGGUAAAGAAGCACCGGCUAACUACGUG